CUCCCCGGCGCCCCCCGCCGGCCCCGCCGCGCCCCCCGCCGGCCCCCGGGCCCCCUCCCUACCGACGCCCUCCCGCCGCUCCCCCCCUCCCCCCAACGAAGAGUCCAAAGCAAGAGCACAAGAUGGGCGUGGCCAUGGCCAUGUGAGGGAGAUUUGUAGGGCGCAUGGAGAGUUGAUGCUUCGUUCCCCCUGGAGCUCUGGUGUAAUUGUUGGGGGAACAACAGGAGAGGGUCACCUUAUGAGCUGGGAUGAACAUAUCAUGCUCAUUGGGCAUACCGUAAACUGCUUUGGCACUAGAAUUAAAGUGAUCGGCAACACAGGAAGUAACUCAACCAGAGAGGCUGUUCAUGCAACAGAGCAGGGAUUUGCUGUUGGCAUGCAUGCAGCUCUCCACAUCAAUCCUUACAUCUAUUUUAUUGGUGCUGCCUUGGAUUCUUUGUAUAAUAUAUAUAUCAAGUUUACAGGUUUUUAGCUAUAUUGGCUCAUGAAAAACGGUUUUCCUAUCACUGUCAUAUAUACCAAAUCUGUCGAGAAUUAUCCUUA